rnacentral:rRNA from 1 species
AUGCCAACCAUUCUCCGUCCACGAUCAGAGGAGGAGUCUUGGGCAGGCUGGCGACGCUCCAGGCGGGGUCGCGAAGGAAAGAUGGCAAGGGCAUGA